CAGUCGCCACGGGAAUACGGAGGGGGCUAGCGUUAAUCGGAAUUACUGGGCGUAAAGGGCGCGUAGGCGGACAGUUUAGUCGGGGGUGAAAGCCCGGGGCUCAACCUCGGAAUUGCCUUCGAUACUGGCUGUCUUGAGUGUGAGAGAGGUGUGUGGAACUCCGAGUGUAGAGGUGAAAUUCGUAGAUAUUCGGAAGAACACCAGUGGCGAAGGCGACACACUGGCUCACUACUGACGCUGAGGCGCGAAAGCGUGGGGAGCAAACAGGAUUAGAUACCCCUGUAGUCCCUGUCUCUUAUAC
rnacentral:rRNA from 1 species